CUGGGAUCCAAACCCAUGAACCUGGGCCACCAAAGUGGAGUAUGCCAAACUUAACCACUAUGCCACUGGGCUGGCCCCAUGGUUUCUUCUUUUUGAAACAUCUCUUUCACACUUUAGAUUCUAGGACCUUUUCUCUUCCAAGAAAGCCAGGUUUGAUGUUCCUAGCUACAACUGAAGAACAACAGCUUUACCCUUCUCUGGCUUUUGAAAUUCCUUUCUGAUGGGAGGAUAGUGUGAUGGGUUGAAUUGCGUCCCUCUAAAAUUCCUAUGUUAAAGUCCUAACCCUCAGUACCUCAGAAAGUGACUGUAUUUGAGGACGGAGCCUUUAAAGAGAUAAUUAAGGUAAAAUGAGGUGGUAUGAGUGAACCCUAAUGCAAUAUGACUGAUGUCCUUAUAAGAAGAGGAGAUUAGGACAGAGGGACAAACAUGUGAGGACAUAGCAAGAAGAAGAGAGGUCUCAGAAGCAAACAAAUCUACUGACACCUUGGUCUUGGACUUCCAGCCUCCAGAACUGUGAGAAAACUAAUUUCUGUUGUUUAAGCACCCAGUCUGUGGAGUUUUGUAAUGGCAGCCCUAGCAGACUCCUACAUGUAGAAUGGUCCUCAGAUGGUCUUGAAACAGGAGAUACUGUGCUCAAGGUGCUCUCUGGAGAAGCCUGAGUCAGAGAAAGAGCCCUCAUUACUAAACCACUUAGGGUCUCAUGUUUGUAAGGGUCAGUAGAGGGACAAGAGCACUGGCAACUUUGAAGUCACCCUCUCUAGAGAGUCUUCCGUCUUAAAUAUCUUUCUCCAGAGGUCUGAAAUGAUGUCAUCAGCAGUUCAUAUGGAGGUCUUGAAGCCUUUUUUUAGUGUUCAACAUCUCAUGGUAAAAUAAGAAUAUACCAGAUGACUGGGAUGCCGUUGAUAGACUGUGGAUGCCGGACGUGGGUUUUGGGAAGGAUUCCAGCAAAGGAGCAGUGAAGGAGAGGAUGGAAAGGCAGAGAUCAUCAGGUCCUUCCCUCUCAGCUCUGCCCAGGGCCAGCCUCGAAACGCCUUGCACCGGGCUUACAGGAAGAAGGGUGGAGUUUUGCUUCUUCUUUGGUGGUGCCUCCUUCCCAAACGUGAGGCUCUCCAUGGGCACAGGGCUGUGGUGAUUGCUUCAUGGUGCAAUGGUUGAGACAGCUGUCCUUCAAGACCCUUCUUUUGGCCUUUUAGUUGCUGCAACAUUUUGAUCAGAAAUUUCUGCUUUAAGUGUAAAGGAUGUGGUGCAAUUGGGGAAGGAAGUGUGGAGAACAAUCAAAACAAAACACCCCGGCCAUAGUUCAGUAAAAUAGAACACAUUCCUGCCCCCUGCCCUCCACCAGAGUGUUUAACUUUUCCUCUUUUUUUCUUAGCUCUGACGCUAGUGUGGUGUAGAUUAUAACUCUGGUAUUUUUGUUUGUCAUCAUUUUCCUUGAACAUGAAUACAAAGAAGACUUCAACAGCAGUAGAGUAAACUGAGUAGCCUGUAGCAAUGCUUUUGUAUUUGAAGUCAGAUUAAAUUUGUCCUCCAAAAAGGUUUCUGCUCCUUCUCCCUCUCCCUCUGCUUCCUUCCCUGGACUCCUGCCCCCAGCACUGCAGCCUGUCCCCACACCUCCAGGAUGUUAGCAGUUUUUAGGGAACAAGAUUUGCUCCCUUCUUUUCAUGAGAUUGUUGAAGACUGAAAAAAACCCUUAAGACUCCUCAAAAUGAAUUUCUGACCAGUGGGGCAGAUUUUAUGAGGCAGGAGACCCUCCCACAGUUUCCAGUAGGUCAGUCUCUAUAAUGAAUGAGAGUUCUGCAUGUGAAUGAAGUAGAGGAUGCUGAGGGAAGAAUCAGGAUGAUUCCAUAUGGACAAAUGGAAAUAGAGAUAGACUCCUGGAAAAAUAAGAAAUAGGCAUCACACUUUAUUCUGGGUCAAAUAGAAUAUUACAUAUUCUAGGAAAGAAAUGAUCUAGCUAAUUAUUUUUAAACCAUUUCACUUACAAAGUUCCAUUUUAUCUGAGUGAUAGUCAUUUCUUUUUUUCUCUUUCUAAGUGUGGAAGCGGAAUGUAUAUCAAUGUAUGGCCCCUAGCAGGAGAGUGGUCACAUGGGAGGGUGUGAAAAAUGCCUAUUCUGGCUGCAGUGUGUGUGCUCGUGGGUGGGAGAGAAAUAACCAUUAACGAUGUGGAGGAAAACAAAUACCUUGACUAAAUUUCGUGUCAUUCUUUGUGAUGUUGCAAUUCUCUUUAAAUAAAUAACUAGAACACUUCCCAAAAGAAACUGAAUGUACGUUGUGAAGGAUAAUUAAGACUGUAGAUCAAACGCAAAAACGACACUUUGGAAGAAAAUAUUUUUAGAAUUUGCACCACGCUCCUUUCAAUCUCUGGCCCAAAUGACAAAGAUGAUUUUGUAAAUGCGUUCAUGUGGGCCUAACAACUUGUUGGAAAGCCUGCCUGAGUUGGAUGGAUAUAAUAACAGAACUGCAAAUUAUACCCUUACACAAGAAUACAAAGGUAAGUCUAUCUUCAGGGGGAUCUGGCCAAGGUGAGUCCAUUGCAUAUUCUUAUUUAGAUAGUUUCCUCUGUAGCAUGUCCUGGACACUAUCAUAAAGUAGAUCAAUACAGAGUAGAUUGUGUUUUCUCGAUAGAAACAACGUUAGAAUUGAAAUUUGAAACAAAUAAGCUAUUGAUGUGGUCAAUAGUAUGUUAUAAAAGCAAACACAAAGUAUUCAAAUAAGUAAGCAUAUUUUCUAAAUCUUAAUAAAAUAGAUGUAAAUAUAGCAUACAUAUUGAUUGCAGAAGAGAUGAUCAUAUAAAGAUAUACUUUUAUUGUAUCAAAAACUUACCUGCUAAUGAGAAUUAAACAUUUUAUUAAGAGCUGAAUUUGUUACAUAGAAAUUGAGAAAGUCCCUUUUGGAUGCCUUAGAUCUCUUCAAAAAUAACUACAAGCAAUCUUCUGCAGAAAAUGACUUUUUCCCCCUGCUUAUUAUACGUUCUAUAGCAAGCAAUAACAUUUAAAUCAUUCCAGUGACCUUAGCAUGACCCUUCAGUGAUACUCAAAACACACGUUGUCGGGAAGGUGGGCAGUUUCUUGUCUACUAAAAGGUUUUUCUUUUAAAAGUAAAUGACAAAACUAAUACAUGCUCAUGCAUACAAUUUAAAAUAUGCAAAUAAGCGGAAAAAAGAAAAGUAACACCUCAUAAUUUUAUAUCUCAGCGAUAAUCAUUGUUUCCUAAUGUGUAUCUUCACACUAAACAUUGUAGCAACCAAAUUUUUCCUAUACCCAUCAGCGAAAAAAAAAAGUCUCACUGAGUAUUCAUAGCAUCAUUUAAAAUAGAUGUAUAUUAUUUUGUUCUAUACAGCAUACUUUAUUUAACGAACCCCCAUUUCUAGACAUUUCAGUUGCUUUCAUUGUUUUUUCCAUUGUGCUUGUAGCAGCCACACCUGUGGCUUCAUGGAGUAUUUGCUUCGUUCGGGAAAGGGGGAGGAAGCUUGAGUCUGGUUUACAGAUGUCUCUGCUGACACCAGUUGGACAUGGACCACUGAGGUCCCAGCAGAGCCAUAUUCCCUGUGGUUGGAGGAUAAGGGAGAUCCUCCCAGUGGACAGCACUUUGAACAGUCCACCUUGUGGUCCAUUUUGCCUGGAAGGAGAGAAGACCUGAGGACUGACAGCAAGGAGGUUUGGGAAGAGUCAGGUGGGUGAUACUCUUGAACUAGGCUUCAGAAUGUGUCCCUCAUGAGUGCUGCCCAAGGAGCAUCUACUCCAGAGGCGAGUCUCUGUAAAACAGUGGAUAUGGUGAGCUGCUCUGUGGAUGUCCCUCAGCCUUCUCCCCAGCUACGCCAGUGCUUGCCUGAUGUUUUGUGAACAAAGUAGGAUUCAGGGCUGGAGGCUGUACAUGCAUUCAACAACAAAAUGUCUUCUUACAAAGACUGGCUUGGUCAUUGGCCCCUUUGAGUGCCAAGUUUUCUAAGCAAUGCCCAAUCCUGAACAUUUCAUAUGGUACCACACCUCAAGUGAGGUGUGGACGGAUUAGCCACCUGUUUGGACCCCUUCUGACCCAGCAGCACCAACUGUGGAAUACUGAACUACCAGGACCUGGGUCACUUUUUGGAAACAAUAGCAGGGCUCAGCGAAUGGGGCAGCUUGGCUUUCUAGAAGGAGUUAUUUGUUGUCCCGACUGAUUCUGCUCCAGAGAACCAUCCACAAAGCACUUGAGACUGUGAAGAAUCCACGAUAGGUUCCUCCACCAUUCUCUAGGUCUUUUGAACUACGUGAACUGGUGAUAACCUUUGACCGGUAGGACUAAGAGAUGAGUGUUCACCAUCAUCUCCUAUGGGUUUCUAUUCAUUCUCAUCCGGGUCUACCUAUGUGGGAACGACCAUGUCUUGCUAUAGAGCAUUGAGUGGUGAAUUGUAAAGGUGUUUUAGGCUAUACAUAUGCUCUUCCUCAAAGAAGAGGCUUGGAGGGCAGAGAAUCCAGUUGGUUCUAUGGAAGACUUUGCUUAUCUUUAAUACGCCCUACACAAUGCUGGUUCUUUUGCAUAAUAUUAACUUGUUAAUCCGGGGAAUGAUUACAUAGUCUGUGCCUUAAAAUUUUUUUUAUUUAUUAAAUUUUUAUUAAAAUAGGUAUGUCAUAAAGUUUACCAUUUUAACAAUUUUUAAGUGUACAGUUCUGUGGCAGUAAGUCUGUGGCUUUUUGCCUCUAAACUUGAAUCCACCUCUGUUUUCUAUGGAUACUCCAUUCUCUCCAAUGCCAUGACCAUAUUUCCUGACUGCCAAGAGGCUAUUAACUGUAAAACAAACCACUAUAUUAGUAGCAAUAUUUUAUUAAAAAGGAUAUUUCUGGCAUUUCCUUGGAUGUCAGUUAUAAACCAUAUUAAUAUUUCAGAAAUAUCAGGUAGAAAAUGUGCAUCAGAGAAUUGAGGGAACAUUUAGCUUCUCUGUGUCCUGUGGCAGUGGCAGGAAUUAACAAAAACUAGUUCUGAAGGGAGAGUCACUUUCUGUAUGAUGUCCAUGACGAUCAAGCUGGAAACCUAUAGCUUAUUGGGCAGUCCCAGGAGCACCAUGACACUGCCUGGACAGGAGACCUCUGAAAUAAAAUGUAUGUUUAGGAUUGUAGAGAAUAACAGGGUGUCAUGAGAACCUCAGAAAAUAAUUUUAUUAAAGACUAAAUCACCACCACCAAGGAAAAGGUUUUAAUAUUUACUGAGCAUCUGCUAUCUGCUGAGAAAUUUACAUACAUUUCUCAUUUUUACCUCAGUGCAAUCUUGGGAGGUAGAUACAGAGGAAAGUAGGUAGAUUUUCAGAGGCAGAUAAGCAGACUCAGAGUGUUUAAGUAAUUGCCAAGAUCGGAUGCCUGGCAAGUAGUGAAGCUGGGGUUUGACACUUGGUCUGUGGACUCCACUGCCUGUGUCCUUCUCCAUCACACCAGUUACCUACUGUGCUUCGGCCACGCCACACCAUGAUGGAAACAACUGAACUCCCUAGUCUCCUUCUAGCCUUGAAGUUUCAGUAUGCUCUCCUUCUUCAUGACACCCUCCUGGUCCCCAUUGCCUAUGGAAUCUUGUGUUGGCUGAUCACAUACUACUUUGUGAUGCGUUUCUAUUUUUUAAUCCAUAUUUAAAACUUUGUUAUUUAGUAUUUUAAAUAUUUAUGUCCUUUCUCUUUAGUAGAUGCUAAGUCCCGAGAGGGAACUGACUUUGAUUGUUGUAUCUCCCACAGCAUUUUACAAAUUGUUGAUGCUCAAUUACUAUCUAUUGACUCGAUUUUAAUGAGUGUUAUGGAGAUGUUUUCUGCUAUAGUUGAUCUGAAAUAAAAGUCAUAGUCAAGAUCAUUUGAAGGCUUUCAGAUUACAGCCCACCUCCAUCAAGGAAACGUCGCUUACCAUACAGACGACCUUACUGUUUAUACGUCAGAGUCUUAACGUUUUUAACAUUUCAGAAGACUAAUACCGACCAAUUUCCAUGCGGAAAUAUCCAGCAAGAUCAAACGGGGGUAGGAAAACAAAAGCUAAUUUCAUUCAGAAGAUUCUGUCUUCUCUCAGCCUUGGUGGUUAUUUCCUGCUUGAGUCACUUCCCCUGAGAGGGUGACACUGGACAGCAGCCUCGAAAGCCGGUUCUGGCGUCUGCUGCAUACUGUGUCCAUUCCUGUGCUGCCCGCAGACUAUGAAACCCUCAAUCACCAUGGUGAAUUUCCACUUGGAAGAUCUGUUGUCCUGUCUUCACUGUGAUGUCUUGGCAUCACUCGAGGUGUGAAAUGGCUCUGCGCCACAUGGAGAAAGAGCAAAAUGUCACUUCCGAGGUUUGUGACAAAAUUUCGUGAUAGAUUCUUCGGGUGGAGUGAGAGGCCUUUCUCACUGCUGUGACACUGCUGCUGAGGUGGAAAAGCUGAAGAGCAGAUUAUUCAGUUUCUACACUGAGCCCUGCUCGACAUGAUGCUAAAACAUGGUGUUUUUUGGACCCAGGUUUUCACUGAUAACAAAAAGGAAGGUCAGUAGCAGUGCACCUCCAUUUGAAUCUUUGGACUCCCUGCACCAACUUCUCUCUAGAUUAAGACCAGGAAGCUGGUUUACAGCCAUCAUAAUCUGCAAAGAGGUCUCUGCCAGGGCAGCAAGCAUCCAUUUCUUUCUUCCAGUACAUCAGACAGUGGACGGGAAAAGAUGAGCUUUCAAAGGGUCAGUUUUCUUCUACCAUUACAAAGUUUAGUGCCUUAAAAAAAAAAAUCAACAGAACUGGGAAAUCUCACUUUGGGAGACAGCCUGGCCCUUCUUCAUAACCCGUUCCUCCAAGCAAACUUGAUUUGCUUAUUAAAAUAGGCAUGAAGAAGCUCUUCCGUGAAGCUUCCUUUUCCACCUGAUGUGUACGAAGGUUUCAAGAACUUGGCUGCACUCCCCCAGCAGCUUGCUGUGUCCAUGCUGAGAUCCCAUGAAGAAGCCUGGUCCAUAAGCUCCCGGAAUUUGUGUUUUCCACCCUCUCACCUGGAAUGCUGAAACAGCAAAGUCUUCUCUUGGCGGCCGUGAGAGAAUGCGGCAGUUGGUGAGAUGGGCACUGAGCCUAUUUGAAGACCCACUUGCAAGCUGGGCACUGACUGCAAAUGCUGCAAUUAAAAGCAAAACAAAACAAAACCAUCCUACAGACCAAAUGCCUUUUAGCAGGGAAAAAGCUAUGCUGUGUUAAAAUAAUGGGAUGGUGUUUUUCUGCGGGGGUGAUCCUGGUUUCCAAGAAAGGGUGAUAUUUGUGAAGAUCGUAAUGUCUAUUCUCCAGGUCUUAGCUCUGAUAGUACUCUCUCCUCCUCCUCACUGAAAGUUAAGAAUGAAGGGGGCAUGAAUAAUCAGGGGUAACAAUGUACGGGAUAGAGUAAUCAUAAACGAAGACUGGAAGAGUAAUUUUUAAUCUAGGCUUGUCAAAAUAACUGUGUCUACAUUUACUGAUUAUGUUGAUUAAACAAUGAUUAAGGGUUGUGCUAAAUCAUGCUGGAACAAUGCAGACUUAAAAAAAUUUUUAGUAAAUUAAGAGAAACUGUGAUUAGGUCUUUGAUUGUAAGCCAUCCUCUUGGAUGACAGUGCAUUCAGGACUUCUGUGAAUGGGAAAGGAGAGAGAAGGGAGAGGUGGUGGAGGAGGUGGGAAGCUGCACAGGACCAGAUCAUUCAGGGCCUGAAGGUCAUUACUAGGAGGUGGGAUUGUAUUCUAAGUGUAAUAAGAAGUUGGGGGUGUGUUUUACACUGGGGAGUGUUCACAAGAUCUGAUUUGUGCUUUUAGAAGCUUACUCUGGCUGCCCUGGGGUACAGCCAUAUUGGAUCCAGAGGGAGAAUGAAGAUCCCAUUCUCAUUCUGGUCAGGUAGCUGGCGAAAGGCCUGAUUCCCAAGUGACGCUGGCAACAAAUGGAAACAACUCAGGCAUGAAAGCAGCAGGACAGCACUGUGGCAAGAGGUUUCCACCGUGCUCAUUUCUUCCCGACUUGCUAAUGCAGCCAGAAUCAAAGGAAAUCUAACAUGUAAAAAGACUAUUUUGAAGUUUUAUUUAAAGACAAGCCAUGCUUAGGAACAGGUUUGAAAAACUUAAAAAUGUGAUGAUAAAUGUCAGGCUUGCCAUGCUUAGGCGGCUGGCACGCAACUAUGCUGAACAGACUCCCAACCGAAGGUUCCCUUGCAGGCUUCUCAAUACUGCUUCUCAAGGCUAAGCCCACCCUGAAGAGGAGUCAAAAGGGACUUGGCUCCAGAAGGACCAUCUGGGGUUUGAAGUCCACCCCUCUCCCUCCCCAUUGAGGCAGACUUCCUCCACUUGUGGGCCACGCCCCUUUCAUCCAGGGGGUCGGCAUCUCUUCCCCUGUAGCCCCGCCUCUUCGAGGCGUGGAUGCACUGUGCCCUUUUGCAGUUCACUGUGCAGAUGGCAGACAGGCAGCUCAUCUCUGUCAGCUGAUUUUCAGUGUGAACUUUCUUUAUUAUGGAGAGGAGAUUUCAAGGUACAGAUUACAUGCAAUCCUUCUUAUCCUCCUUUGUUUGGAGUCAGUUAGUGAUUAAGAAGUCCCUCAUUUUGCCCCUCUGCCUUAGCUGAAGGAAGCCAGGGUGCACGCUGGUAACCCCUCUGCAUGUGUCUGCCUAACUGACCUCUUCCUUUCUGUUCCAUCCUGGGUUCCGCCCUCCAGAGCUGGACUGGAGCAGUUCUGCUGACCUGUUUGUGCUUCUGAGCUUUCUGGAGAAGCAAAGUCCAUUUAGGUGUGGCCAUAGGCUUAUCUCUUUAGCUGCAGGCUGGGGUGACUUUUCUUGAAGCUGUGUGAACCUCUAGGCUGUUAGCAGGCUCUUGAUUUUGCCCUCAGGCCUGGCCAGGCUCACAUUUUCUUUGCCACAGUCUCCCUGGCCUGUCCUGCUCGCUUGUGUCUCCUGUCUCAAUGCGCACAAUCUCUUCUCUAGCAAGGCCUUAGCUUUCUAGUCUGGCUUUCUCUGUUGAACCUCAUCUCUCUUUACAAGACUCAUCAUGUAACCUUCUAGACACAGGUUAGCAUGCCCUUUCCUGUCAUUUUUUACCUCUUGAGCCCUGGGACUUGAUAAAUGUGAAACAAACUUCCUCUCAUGUCAUAUCCCAGGGCCUCUAUGCAAUAAAUUUUAUAACUUUAAUAGAUUUUGGAAAUUCAACUCAGUUAUUUUAAAGGUCAUCUCUGUGGAGUUUUAUUAAUUAAAUUUCUUUUAAAGUUUUUUGAAAAGUUAAUAUUUCUGUUUCAAAAUUUCUCCCUCUAUAUGCAACUUUCUAAGUAUCGGGACCCCCUGAAUUUAUUAACCUAUCUCUCUAAAAAUCUAUUGCUUUUCUUAAAGAGUAUUGUGCUAUGUAUAUCUAAAGUGAAAUGGUUUUUAUAAAAAGCACUCAGAAUAUUUUUAAAUGUACAUUUUGGACUUUAAGCUGGGAUGCGUCAAAUCUUUUUGCACUUAAAAGUAAUUAUAGUUCUAAUUUUUAAAAGAGGUAAACUCUAGGGCUGGCCCCGUGGCCGAGUGGUUAAGUUCGCGUGCUCCGCUGCAGGCGGCCCAGUGUUUCGUCGGUUCA